rnacentral:lncRNA from 1 species
ACAGUUUGUCGAGACUACACUAACUUGAGAUAUCAGAGCUAGUUCUUUCUUAGUAGAGUGUGGAUUACCCCUCUACUUGAAGGUAUACUAGCAUUUUUUAGAGGUUGCGGAUUACCCUCCUCUAAACUGAUACUUCUUUUGUUACAAUAUUGGAGUCUUAUUCUUCUUGGAGAGAGUGGAUUACCCCUCUUCUUGAAAUUCUUAAGGCGUUUUAUAGGUUGUGGAUUACCCUCCUAUAAACCAAUAUUGCCUCUUAUAGGG